rnacentral:lncRNA from 1 species
UGUGCAACAUUAUUUAAUAGUAGAAUACAAUUUCUAACGUCUGCUGUAAUACCCAAAUUUUGCCCGGCCUUAGCCCAAAUAUUAAAACCCAAAUAAAUAAAUAAAUAAAACCAAAUUCAAAGUCCAUUUACAAAUAACAUCAGUCCAGAUUGUUAACCAAAACCCCUAGCCCAAACCUAACCUAAGCUUAAUUAGCCCAAUCUCCAAACCCGGUUACAAACCCAAAUACCCCGGCCCAAUUACAGCCCAAAACGAAAAUAGAAACCCUAGGGUUUC